rnacentral:rRNA from 1 species
UCUCGGGGUUACAGCCUUGCUGAAUUAUUCACCCUUGUCUUUUGCGUACUUCUUGUUUCCUUGGUGGGUUCGCCCACCACUAGGACAAACAUAAACCUUUUGUAAUUGCAAUCAGCGUCAGUAACAAAUUAAUAAUUACAACUUUCAACAACGGAUCUCUUGGUUCUGGCAUCGAUGAAGAACGCAGCGAAAUGCGAUAAGUAGUGUGAAUUGCAGAAUUCAGUGAAUCAUCGAAUCUUUGAACGCACAUUGCGCCCUUUGGUAUUCCAAAGGGCAUGCCUGUUCGAGCGUCAUUUGUACCCUCAAGCUUUGCUUGGUGUUGGGCGUCUUGUCUCUAGCUUUGCUGGAGACUCGCCUUAAAGUAAUUGGCAGCCGGCCUACUGGUUUCGGAGCGCAGCACAAGUCGCACUCUCUAUCAGCAAAGGUCUAGCAUCCAUUAAGCCUUUUUUUCAACUUUUGACCUCGGAUCAGGUAGGGAUACCCGCUGAACUUAAGCAUAUCAAUAAGCGGAGGA